AUGUGCAGGCAGAUCACCCACAGUAGUGGCUGCCCCAGCAGUGUAGUGUGGGGUUCUGAUUCCUUGUAGAGGUUUCAUCCAAACCCUAUCAAGCUCUAAGUGCAUAUUUUUUUUUACCUUUUCUCAACUUUGAAUUUACUUCACAAUCUCUGGAUUUUGACAUUUUAUGUCAUUUCUGGAACUGCUACAGUUACAUUACAAGAUAAAGGGAGACAAAGAAUAAAAACCAGAAGAACUGCUUCACGUGAAGAGUGAGCUUUCAGACUGUGCUUUUUGCAGGUUCACAGAGCACAGGGGAGCGCCUACGUGGAGCAGUAAGCGCUGGGUCUGCUACAGUUCUCGGGGGUGCGAAGAAGGGAAUUUUGCGCACUCAGACUCACAAGGAACUCUCCCAGUGCCACCGGUGCACAGGGUGGCUGGGACAUGUAGGCAGUUCUGCUCUUUCCCAAGGGCCAAGUUGACUUGUUUUCAAAACUGCUGACGUGUACGUGAGCUUCAGAGGAGACACAAAUUGCACUUACUGUAGUUCUGGCAACUACCUGGGCCAGAUUUACACUGGAGGUAUAUUAAAUACAAGAGAGGUGGAAGGAACUGUGGGUGAAUAUGGGUAUCCAGCUCUUCAAGUGCACUGCCUCUACAUGUACGUUUCGUCCCCUGAAGAAAAAAAUUCCAAGUGGGGCCUUUCACAUAUCAUAUUGGCUUAUUUAUCCCUUUCUCUAACUAUAUCCACAACCAAAUUGUCCUUCAGUGCCCCUAGUAGCUUGCGACAGAGUGCUGUUUCAAUAAUUACUGAAGGUUUCUAUAGUACGUUUGUGAUAAUGUUCACCAAAGGGACCCAAACCAGGAAAGAUGGGCAUCAUCAUUUUCUUUUGAAACCGAGACCGAGUCUGAGUCACUGAGCCGGCCACUGACUUGCUCAGCAAAUCAGCAGUAGCACCAAACAUAUUGUAUUUAUUGAAUAUUAUGGAGGGAAACAGUGAGAUACAGGAUGGCAACGCCAGUGAUACAAAAGGAGCUGGACGGCACAGGAAAACGAACUGAGCCAGGUAUUGGCCAGCCACCAGGAUGGGCAUAUUUAUAACAAAGGUCAUCUGAGGGUCACAAUCAGGAUAUAAAGGGAAUACUGCUUUGUUUGCAUUUAGAAUGAUCCACACUUCACCAAGAGCAUUCAGCACAUCUUUAGGGGGUAAAAAUGCUUAUGUAUUUGCCAAGAUUGUAAUCAAAAAGAAGCUUUUAUUUUAGUACUUUUUGACUUUUUUUAAGCUUUUCAAGUAAGCAAGGAUAUUAUUCAUUUGGAUUGUGUAAAAUCUUCACCUACAGAGAAGCCCAGCUGUGUUCAAUGACUCUGCAUUACACCAUCUUCUGUCUUACAGGGUCAGUGCAAUUCUUAAAGGCUGGAGUGUAAAAAUGAUGUUGCAGUAUGUUUGUAUUUUUGUAGUACGUUUGCUUUGUCUUUAUCCACAGAAACUUAUCCCAUUGCCUAAACCCCUUUCCAUACUAGGCUUUAUUUACAAAUUGACAGCCAAACAUUGUAGUCUUUUUGACAGUGUGCAAUUAAUCGCACACGAUCCGUUUAGGCUUCAAGAUGUACCUUUCAUAAAUGAUAUAUUCCAAAAAGCAGUCCAAUUGGCUGCUUUGCAUAUUGCAUAUAUUUUUCAUAUUUCCAAGGCAGAACAUAUGCCAAACCAUUUUAUGGAAGUACAGACAUGGGAAAGAUGAUUUGGAAGAAAGGACAGCACCCAGAGGUUCUGUUUCUUCCACCCACCUGCUCCAAACUGGCCACCAUGAAUUCCAGGCAAUUAAAAUGGACAUGAGUUCUGAAGCAUUUUAAAAGGGGCUUUGCUUUCCAAAUGCGUCCAGUGUUCUCCACCACCCCACUGAGGGACACAGCAUUUCAGUGAUGGCUGCAGGGAAGUACCUGAUUUAAUUAGAUAAAUAAGUAAUUAUGCCAUAA